CAGUGACCUUCUGGGGGGACAAUUCUUCAACUUCGAAGCCAAUCGCUUGCAGCGGGGCGUCCAAACUUCCCGUCUUGGACUCCAUGAAUCGAUGAGAAAUUUUUGAUAAUAACACCAAAAACGUCUCGUCUUUUGUAUAUCAGACAAAUGAUUUCAGGAACAUCUUUGAUCUUCUUGCAGUGGCAAUAAUUUCGAGACCCAAAGAAAAGUUGUGAACAGGAAUAGAAGUUCAGACUAUGAUUGUAUAUUUUGAUUAAAAAUUGAAA
rnacentral:misc_RNA from 1 species